rnacentral:rRNA from 1 species
GGAGGCAGCAGUGGGGAAUAUUGCACAAUGGGCGCAAGCCUGAUGCAGCCAUGCCGCGUGUAUGAAGAAGGCCUUCGGGUUGUAAAGUACUUUCAGUCGUGAGGAAGGUGGUAGUGUUAAUAGCACUAUCAUUUGACGUUAGCGACAGAAGAAGCACCGGCUAACUCCGUGCCAGCAGCCGCGGUAAUACGGAGGGUGCGAGCGUUAAUCGGAAUUACUGGGCGUAAAGCGCAUGCAGGUGGUUUGUUAAGUCAGAUGUGAAAGCCCGGGGCUCAACCUCGGAAUUGCAUUUGAAACUGGCAGACUAGAGUACUGUAGAGGGGGGUAGAAUUU